GAGCGGAGAUUAUGGAGCUUGCUUUAUAUAACUUAGCAGCGAACGGGUGAGUAACACGUAGAUAAUCUAUCCUAUACUGGGGGAUAGCCCGAUGAAAGUUGGAUUAAUACCGCAUAUAGCUAUAUAGUUGCAUGAUUAUGUAGUGAAAGAUUUAUUGGUAUAGGAGGAGUCUGCGGCACAUUAGCUAGUAGGUGAGGUAAAGGCUUACCUAGGCGACGAUGUGUAGCCGGUCUGAGAGGAUGAACGGCCACAAUGGAACUGAGACACGGUCCAUACUCCUACGGGAGGCAGCAGUGGGGAAUAUUGCACAAUGGGGGAAACCCUGAUGCAGCAACGCCGCGUGAGUGAAGAAGGUUUUCGGAUUGUAAAGCUCUGUUAGCAGGGAAGAGGAAGGACGGUACCUGCAGAGGAAGCCACGGCUAACUACGUGCCAGCAGCCGCGGUAAUACGUAGGUGGCAAGCGUUGUUCGGAAUUACUGGGCGUAAAGGAUGCGUAGGCGGUUAAACAAGUUAUAUGUUAAAUAUAUAGGCUUAACCUGUAGAAAGCAUAUAAAACUGUUUAACUAGAGUGCAGGAGAGGUAAGUGGAAUUCCUAGUGUAGCGGUGAAAUGCGUAGAGAUUAGGAAGAACACCAGUGGCGAAGGCGACUUACUGGACUGUAACUGACGCUGAGGCAUGAGAGCAUGGGGAGCAAACAGGAUUAGAUACCCUGGUAGUCCAUGCUGUAAACGAUGGGUACUAGGUGUGGGUUGUGAAUAACAAUUCGUGCCGUCGCAAACGCAAUAAGUACCCCGCCUGAGGAGUACGAUCGCAA
rnacentral:rRNA from 1 species